GAGAGAGGAGUCACUAUCAGAAGAUGAAUGGAGGGCUUUGGAGGAGACUUUCAGGCAAGGACGUUUGGUGAAGUCCCACCACGUUGGAUACGCGAUGAUUUCAUAGCAACGAUUCUUGGAGUGACCAGUAUCACCACAAUGAGAACAUAUGAUAAGGGUUUGCCAGAGGAAUUAUCCUUUUAGGAGGAUAAUUAAUAGGGAAGAAUGAGGAACCUGAGAUAGUAGAACUGAGAAUUCUGAUGUAGGGGCAGUGAUGGGAAAAGAAGAAUUGUCUUGCUGAAUGAUAAUAUUGGAGGAUGGAGCAGAGGUGGUUGACGAUGAAGAGGUGAAAGUAUUGGCCAUGGCGAAAUUGGGAAUUUAAGGAUUGAAAACAGUACAAAGAUGAAGAGAGGUGUUCCCGGAAUUUAAACAACAUCUGAUACCAUGUUAAACAGGAACAAAUACGAUACUUUUCAUUCAUACUUUUUUUUCUCAAAAUGAGAUACAAUUAUAUAAGCAUCAGCUUAUAUGUAAAAUUAGGAAACAACUUUAAAAACAGAAAACAACUUUCAACUUAUUCCUAACUAAGCACAACAAUAAUUUAAAUCUAAAUUAUAUCUUCAACA
rnacentral:lncRNA from 1 species